rnacentral:rRNA from 1 species
UACGUAGGGUGCGAGCGUUGUCCGGAAUUACUGGGCGUAAAGAGCUCGUAGGUGGUUUGUCGCGUUGUUCGUGAAAACCGGGGGCUUAACCUUCGGCGUGCGGGCGAUACGGGCAGACUGGAGUACUGCAGGGGAGACUGGAAUUCCUGGUGUAGCGGUGGAAUGCGCAGAUAUCAGGAGGAACACCCAUAGCGAAGGCAGCUUGCUGGGACGUUACUGACGCUAAGGCGCGAAAGCGUGGGGAGCGAACAGG